CUGACCGAUUUGUGGAAAAAGAUCGCGGUAUGGGCGUAAAACAUCAGACAUACUUACCUCAGCAAUAAAUGAUUUACUAAUGACUUUGGGGGCAUUAUUGGCCUUGUGCAAGUCUUUUAGUAUGCAAAAAAGCACCGUUUUGUGUGCGAAUGCAGCAAAAAGGGUGAAAAAACAACAAACAGAAAAAAAGAUCAAAAAAGUACUUGUGCAAAAAAUUGGGAUCCCUAUAAUGCGCCUCCGUUGAGACGACAACGUGAAACACUUCACAAGAUGGUCGUAACAACGAAGAGAAAAAAUCCUGGAAUUCAGGGUUGACUCUGAAAGAGGAAAGCGUAAUAUACGCCACCUCGCGACAGUGAGCUGAAAGCCGCGUCGCAAC
rnacentral:rRNA from 1 species